GUCUUCAAUUAGCUGCUGGGGAUAUUCAUAUGGCAACACAUGCACUACCUGACCCCAAGACCUACUUCAGGCAGCGGAUGUUUCUGUGGGCACCGAUGCGGAUGUGGGGUAUUCUGAUAAAAUGCCCUCAGUGUAGUACCAAGAUGCACCAUUCGGGGAUCUACACAAAACUACAGGAGAGAGCUGCAAAAACCUUGGGAAACAACCUCUGUGUGCUGGAUGUUGGUGUCUGUUGCUUUGACGGGGGUGAACUGUGGUGGAAAUCCCCUCUUUCCCCCCAUGUAAAGAUGACUCCAUCUUCAGCUCCUGCAUUUUUCAUGUUUCCUUUCCUUUCCUAAAAGUGAACUAUAACUUUUACAUUACAUUUGGCAACGCCACUGCUUUUGAAUUUGGCAUUUCAGACCCAUUUAGGCCUGAACAUAUCACAGACUGUCAAGGCUUAUGUUGAGUUUAUUUAUUUAUGUUCAUAAAAAAGCAUACAUCUGUAGCCACAACAAUGUUAUUACCUGUGCUCUUCUUUAUCCCUGCAAUCUUUUCCUUUAUCCCUAUGUCUUUACACCUCAUGGACUCUGCAGCUCAGUAAAUCUUAACAGCAAUGCCACUGCUGAGAAAGGUUGUUACCAUUUGUAUAAGCUCUGCCUGCUGGUUUUAUUUGACUGGAUAUGUUUACUUUUACGUAUAUUCCAUAG